CAGUCUGCAUGGAGCCGACCUUGAAAUACCACCCUUUAAUGUUUGAUGUUCUAACGUGGACCCGUUACCCGGGUUGCGGACAGUGUCUGGUGGGUAGUUUGACUGGGGCGGUCUCCUCCUAAAGAGUAACGGAGGAGCACGAAGGUUGGCUAAUCCUGGUCGGACAUCAGGAGGUUAGUGCAAUGGCAUAAGCCAGCUUGACUGCGAGCGUGACGGCGCGAGCAGGUGCGAAAGCAGGUCAUAGUGAUCCGGUGGUUCUGAAUGGAAGGGCCAUCGCUCAACGGAUAAAAGGUACUCCGGGGAUAACAGGCUGAUACCGCCCAAGAGUUCAUAUCGACGGCGGUGUUUGGCACCUCGAUGUCGGCUCAUCACAUCCUGGGGCUGAAGUAGGUCCCAAGGGUAUGGCUGUUCGCCAUUUAAAGUGGUACGCGAGCUGGGUUUAGAACGUCGUGAGACAGUUCGGUCCCUAUCUGCCGUGGGCGCUGGAGAACUGAGGGGGGCUGCUCCUAGUACGAGAGGACCGGAGUGGACGCAUCACUGGUGUUCGGGUUGUCAUGCCAAUGGCACUGCCCGGUAGCUAAAUGCGGAAGAGAUAAGUGCUGAAAGCAUCUAAGCACGAAACUUGCCCCGA
rnacentral:rRNA from 1 species